rnacentral:tRNA from 1 species
GGGGUUGUGGCUCAGUGGUAGAGUGCUCACCUAGCACGUGACACACUGGGUUCAAUCCUCAGCAACACAA